rnacentral:rRNA from 1 species
CCUACGGGUGGCUGCAGUGGGGAAUAUUGGACAAUGGGGGGAACCCUGAUCCAGCCAUGCCGCGUGUGUGAAGAAGGCCCUCGGGUCGUAAAGCACUUUCAGUGAGGAAGAACGCCUGGUGGUUAAUACCCAUCAGGAAAGACAUCACUCACAGAAGAAGCACCGGCUAACUCCGUGCCAGCAGCCGCGGUAAUACGGAGGGUGCGAGCGUUAAUCGGAAUUACUGGGCGUAAAGCGCGCGUAGGUGGCUUGAUAAGCCGGUUGUGAAAGCCCCGGGCUCAACCUGGGAACGGCAUCCGGAACUGUCAAGCUAGAGUGCAGGAGAGGAAGGUAGAAUUCCCGGUGUAGCGGUGAAAUGCGUAGAGAUCGGGAGGAAUACCAGUGGCGAAGGCGGCCUUCUGGACUGACACUGACACUGAGGUGCGAAAGCGUGGGUAGCAAACAGGAUUAGAUACCCUAGUAGUC